AAAAAAAAAAACAAUCUCCCUUCUCUCGGCAAAACCAUUUUUUCUUCUCUAAUCGUUUCGAAUAGGAUGGAUCAAAGCACGCAACUCCUCGACAUGAUCCACUCGAUGGAACAAGAAGUUUAGUGCUUAACAUCUUAUUUAUUUUUUUCUUAUUUGUUUACCAAUCAUGUACAUAUUGAUAUCCUUGAUUGAUUUACAUUUGAUUUUUUUCAAAGAGUACGGUAGAUUAGUUUUUUGGAAUAGCAUAUGAAAUGAAAGGAGUAUUUGGUUGCGAUCCUAAUUAUUUCUCU
rnacentral:lncRNA from 1 species